rnacentral:rRNA from 1 species
UACGUAGGGCGCAAGCGUUGUCCGGAAUUAUUGGGCGUAAAGAGCUCGUAGGCGGUCCAUCGCGUCGGGAGUGAAAAGCUGGGGCUUAACCCCAGUCCUGCUUUCGAUACGGGUGGACUAGAGGUAGGCAGGGGAGAAUGGAAUUCCUGGUGUAGCGGUGAAAUGCGCAGAUAUCAGGAGGAACACCGGUGGCGAAGGCGGUUCUCUGGGCCUUACCUGACGCUGGAGGAGCGAAAGCAUGGGGAGCAAACAGG